AGCAGACCCGCGAACACGUGUUACAACUCAUGCGGUUCCUCGGCUCGGGUUGGGGAGUGAUCCCCUCCCUUGCCGCGGCACCGUGCCCGCCCGAUGCUUGCGUCUGGCGGGCUAACGAACCCCGGCGCGGCACGCGCCAAGGAAAACUCAAUGAAGCGUUGCCCUCUCGGUGCCCGUUCGCGGUGCCUCCGUGGGGAUGCGGCGUCUCUCGAAUGUCAUAACGACUCUCGGCAACGGAUAUCUCGGCUCUCGCAUCGAUGAAGAACGUAGCGAAAUGCGAUACUUGGUGUGAAUUGCAGGAUCCCGUGAAUCAUCGAGUCUUUGAACGCAAGUUGCGCCCGAAGCCACUAGGCCUAGGGCACGCCUGCAUGGGCGUCACGCAUCGCGUCGCCCCCCAUCCCGAUCCCAUGGAUCUGCGGACGGGGGUGGAUAUUGGCCUCCCGUGUGCGUGAGCAUGCGGCCGGCCCAAAUUCGAUCCCGCGUCGACGGACGUCGCGACCAGUGGUGGUUGAAACAUCAAUCGUGCUGUCGUGCCGUGCCCCGUCGGUUGCUUGGGCAUCGUCUAGACCCCGUCGGAUUGCUCGGGCAUCGUCUAGACCCAACGGGCACUCUACGUGCCUUCGACCGCGACCCCAGGUCAGGCGGGACUACCCGCUGAGUUUAAGCUUAACAUAAGCCGGGAA
rnacentral:rRNA from 1 species